UGGGGAAUCUUGCGCAAUGGGCGAAAGCCUGACGCAGCAACGCCGCGUGCGGGAAGAAGGCCUUAGGGUUGUAAACCGCUUUCAGUAGGAACGAAAAUGACGGUACCUGCAGAAGAAGGUGCGGCCAACUACGUGCCAGCAGCCGCGGUGACACGUAGGCACCAAGCGUUGUCCGGAUUUAUUGGGCGUAAAGAGCUCGUAGGCGGUUGAGUAAGUCGGGUGUGAAAACUCUGGGCUUAACCCAGAGCCGCCACUCGAUACUGCUCUGACUUGAGUUCGGUAGGGGAGCAGGGAAUUCCUAGUGUAGCGGUGAAAUGCGCAGAUAUUAGGAGGAACACUGGUGGCGAAGGCGCUGCUCUGGGCCGAAACUGACGCUGAGGAGCGAAAGCGUGGGUAGCAAACAGG
rnacentral:rRNA from 1 species